AGGCAUAUUUUGGAGAUUAAAGAGAGACUUUACAACUAUCAAAAAGAGGUGCUGAGCUUUCAUAUGGUAAAGUGGUUGAAACAAAAGUUUCCGAGCGUUGAGAAGGAAGAAUAGCAAUACCA